GUGGUCACUCCGGCAGCACAUGUACUAAAACUGGAACGAUACAGAGAUUUGCACGGCCCCUGUGCAAGGAUGACACAAAAAUCCGUGAAAUGUUCCAUAUUUCU